UGAAGGUAGGGUGAGACUGUCAUUACUGUUUCUCCUCUCUGGGUUGAAGUUAGGGUGAGACUGUCAUUACUGUUUCUCCUCUCUGGGUUGAAGGUAGGGUGAGACUGUCAUUACUGUUUCUCCUCUCUGGGUUGAAGGUAGGAUGAGACUGUCAUUACUGUUUCUCCUCUCUGGGUUGAAGGUAGGAUGAGACUGUCAUUACUGUUUCUCCUCUCUGGGUUGAAGGUAGGGUGAGACUGUCAUUACUGUUUCUUCUCUCUGGGUUGAAGGUAGGAUGAGACUGUCAUUACUGUUUCUCCUCUCUGGGUUGAAGGUAGGAUGAGACUGUCAUUACUGUUUCUCCUCUCUGGGUUGAAGGUAGGGUGAGACUAAGGAGUUGGGAGUUAUUUUUGCUGUUGUCUUCAGUACUGAAGUCAGUCAGUUCUAUUAGCAGUAUAGAAUUAGUGAGACCUGUAGACGUGUCUUUGUCUGAGGUAAGAUACAUUCCCUAAAAUCACUAUCGAUCAAUCGUACAUUUUCAUAAAAUGUAAAGUGUAUUAUAUAUAUUCAUUGGAUGGUUUCUGCUGAAGAUCUGACCAACAGUGGCUGGUUGCUGUUUAUUGUGGUUCACUGGUACUCAUUUUAAUUUGUUGUCUCUGUGUGAAGUCUGGAAGGAAUUCCUCGGGUUUUGUUAGUCUUACAACACGGUUAACCUGUUACUGGCUAAUAAAAUAAUGUCAGAAAAACA